rnacentral:rRNA from 1 species
AGCAAACGCUGGCGGCAGGCCUAACACAUGCAAGUCGAACGAAGUCUUCGGACUUAGUGGCGGACGGGUGAGUAACACGUGGGAACGUACCUUUAGGUUCGGAAUAACUCAGGGAAACUUGUGCUAAUACCGAAUGUGCCCUUCGGGGGAAAGAUUUAUCGCCUUUAGAGCGGCCCGCGUCUGAUUAGCUAGUUGGUGAGGUAAAGGCUCACCAAGGCGACGAUCAGUAGCUGGUCUGAGAGGAUGAUCAGCCACAUUGGGACUGAGACACGGCCCAAACUCCUACGGGAGGCAGCAGUGGGGAAUCUUGCGCAAUGGGCGAAAGCCUGACGCAGCCAUGCCGCGUGAAUGAUGAAGGUCUUAGGAUUGUAAAAUUCUUUCACCGGGGACGAUAAUGGCGGUACCCGGAGAAGAAGCCCCGGCUAACUUCGUGCCAGCCGCCGCCGUAAUAC